GGCCUGAUAAGACGCGUUAGCGUCGCAUCAGGCAUCUGCGCACGACUGCCGGAUGCGGCGUAAACGCCUUAUCCGGCC
rfam:Escherichia coli str. K-12 substr. MG1655, complete genome.